rnacentral:rRNA from 1 species
GAUGAACGCUGGCGGUAUGCUUAACACAUGCAAGUCGAACGGGGGACCUUGGUCCCUAGUGGCGGACGGGUGAGUAACGCGUGAGGACAUGCCCUUAGGGUCUGGGACAACAGAUGGAAACGUCUGCUAAUACCGGAUGUGCCGGGAGGUGAAAGAUUAAAUUGCCUAGGGAUUGGCUCGCGUCAGAUUAGCUAGUUGGUAGGGUAACGGCUUACCAAGGCGACGAUCUGUAUUUGGUCUGAGAGGAUGACCAGACACACUGGAACUGAGAGACGGUCCAGACUCCUACGGGAGGCAGCAGUGGGGAAUUUUCCGCAAUGGGCGCAAGCCUGACGGAGC